GAUGAACGCUAGCGGGAGGCCUAACACAUGCAAGCCGAGCGGUAUUUGUCUUUCGGGACAGAGAGAGCGGCGUACGGGUGCGGAACACGUGUGCAACCUGCCUUUAUCUGGGGGAUAGCCUUUCGAAAGGAAGAUUAAUACCCCAUAAUAUAAUGAAUGGCAUCAUUUAUUAUUGAAAACUCCGGUGGAUAGAGAUGGGCACGCGCAAGAUUAGAUAGUUGGUGAGGUAACGGCUCACCAAGUCGAUGAUCUUUAGGGGGCCCGAGAGGGUGAUCCCCCACACUGGUACUGAGACACGGACCAGACUCCUACGGGAGGCAGCAGUGAGGAAUAUUGGACAAUGGGUUAGCGCCUGAUCCAGCCAUCCCGCGUGAAGGACGACGGCCCUAUGGGUUGUAAACUUCUUUUGUACAGGGAUAAACCUACUCUCGUGAGAGUAGCUGAAGGUACUGUACGAAUAAGCACCGGCUAACUCCGUGCCAGCCGCCGCGGUAA
rnacentral:rRNA from 1 species